rnacentral:tRNA from 1 species
GCCCAGAUAGCUCAGUGGUAGAGCAGAGGAUUGAAGCUCCUUGUGUCGUUCGUUCAAAUCGGACUCUAGGCA